rnacentral:misc_RNA from 1 species
AAUUGUUUAAUAGUAUGGUGUUCUAAGAAACAACCUUCAGUAAGUCUGUCUUCAACAGAGGCUGAAUAUGUGUCACUGAGCGUAGCUGCUAGUGAAGCGUGUUGGCUUAUUAAUAUAUUACAUGAUUUUGAUUUUAAAAAUAUUUGUACAACAAACUUAUUGUGUGAUAAUCAGUCAGCAAUAUUAAAUGCCAGUACUGAGUCUGUAAAAUGAUUAAAACAUGUAGAUAUUAGAUAUCACUUUGUUAAGGAAUUAGUUAAAAAUAAUAAGAUCUGUAUUAAGUACAUAAGCAGUUGUAAUCAGCUGGCAGACAUGUUAACAAAACCUAUAAGUAAUGAAUUGAUUAUAAAGUAUUUGAAACAAUGUGGUAGCCAUUCAUUGGUGUUAUUGAUUGUUUAGAUGAUAAUUUUUUUUUGAAAUGUAUAACAUUGAGGGGGAGUGUUGACUAUGGCAAUGUUUAUACAUUUAGUAAAGGUUAUCUAUAGUACGUUAUUGUCAAUUUAUAGGUUGGUAAAACUGUAUCCGUUAAUUGUUAAUAAGUUUAAUUUAACAAUCACGAUGGGUUCUCUCGCUGUGUGUGUAACGUUCUAGAAACUCUCUUUGUAACUUUGUAUUAACUAUUAACUAAAGAGUUGGAUUUA